rnacentral:rRNA from 1 species
CAAUAGCAUAUAUUAACGUUGUUGCAGUUGAAAAGCUCGUAGUUGAACUUUUGGUAGGAGCGACCUGGCCUUGGGCGCAUGCCCUUGUUUGCCGUGUGUCGUAUCUGGCCAUCCUUUUCCGUUUCGGCGGGAAUCUUUUACUGUGAGUAAGCUGGAGUGCUCAAAACAAGACGUUUGUUUGGUACAUUAAAGCAUGGAAUAAUAAGAUAGGACCUGGUUACUAUUUUGUUGGUUUGCAUAGCUAGGUAAUGAUUAACAGGGACAGUUGGGGGUAUUCGUAUUUAAUUGUCAGAGGUGAAAUUCUUGGAUUUAUGAAAGACGAACGACUGCGAAAGCAUUUACCAAGGAUGUUUUCAUUAA